rnacentral:rRNA from 1 species
AUGGCCAAACAAGUGUACGAGUGCAACUGGGUUCCCUCCCGUGUCACAGAAUCACAGCUGAAUGAUCUAGUCCUGACCGGCGCUUUGGAUAACAAAGAUACGAUUCACUGGAGGGUUCCUGGAGAUGAAUGUCCUCCUACGCCCCAGGAAGGAGAGGUCGUGGUCUUCGCAGAUCACAUGGCCCGGGGCUUCAAACCGCCCGGCUCCAAAUUUUAUCGGGAUGUGUUAGCCAACUUUCAACUCCGUCCACAGGAUAUUGGCCCCAACUCCGUCACCAAUCUAUGUCACUUUCAAGUACUUUCUGAGGCAUACCUUCAAGAGGAGCCUUCAGUCGAGUUAUUUAGAGAUCUCUUUCAUCUAAACCGCCGUACUGAAUUCACUGACAGCCCUAAUACCGAACUUGGCGGUAUGGCCAUUCAGAAAAGGAAAGAAAUCACCUAUCCCCACGUCAAACUCCAUACUCACCCCAAGGAAUGGAACGCAACUUGGUUUUAUUGCAAGGAUACCUCUCCUAACAAUGAAAAUCCCUUGCCUGGCUUUCGUCCGGAACGGCUCAGCAACACUCACCCUUUUCCACAAAGGCUAAGCGCCAAGGAGAGAAUUAAAUACGCUCCUCAACUAUCCAAGCUCCGGGCCUUCAUGGCCAAUGGUUUAACAGGAAUAGACCUUGCACGCUGCUGGAUAUCAUGGAGCAUUUUGCCUCUAAGCCGGCGCCCAAAUUUGAUGUGCGAGUAUACUGAUAGUGUCGAUGACCCACUCUGA